rnacentral:rRNA from 1 species
ACUUAGUGGCAGACGGGUGAGUAACAUGUGGGUAUCUACCCUUUGGCCUGGAAUAACACGAGGAAACUUGUGCUAAUACCGGAUAAGUCUUUACGGAGAAAGCUUUAUGCACCAUUGGAUGAGCCCGCACUUGAUUAGUUUGUUGGUAGGGUAAUGGCCUACCAAGACUAUGAUCAAUAGCUGAUUUGAGAGGAUGAUCAGCCACAUUGGGACUGAGACACGGCCCAAACUCCUACGGGAGGCAGCAGUGGGGAAUCUUGCACAAUGGAGGAAACUCUGAUGCAGCGAUGCCGCGUGAGUGAAGAAGGCCUUUGGGUUGUAAAGCUCUUUCGUCGGGGAAGAAAAUGACUGUACCCGAAUAAGAAGGUCCGGCUAACUUCGUGCCAGCAGCCGCGGUAAUACGAAGGGACCUAGCGUAGUUCGGAAUUACUGGGCUUAAAGAGUUCGUAGGUGGUUGAAAAAGUUAGUGGUGAAAUCCCAGAGCUUAACUCUGGAACUGCCAUUAAAACUUUUCAGCUAGAGUAUGAU